rnacentral:lncRNA from 1 species
GUAGCUGUGGGGGGGGCACGGCCCCGAAUCGCAGGGGUCGGGCAGGGCGCAGCCCCCCUCCACAUUCACCCGCGCCGCCGGUGCCACCGCCAGUGCCACCGCGCUGGCCGCCGUCUCGCCCAUGCGCACGCCCUGCGGCACCGCCCGUCACCACUGCGCCCGGGCCCCCCGGGCCCCCAGCCCCAGUCCCGGUGCCCAGUGCCCCAGGUUGUGUCGCUGUGCCCAAAUGUCCCCAUGGCCCCGCAGCCUGUGUCCCUGUCCCCAACUCCUUAGGCCCACAGGCACUGUGUCCCCCUUCCCACGUCCCCAUGACCUACACCGUGCUCCGUGCCCACAGCCCCACAGCCCCAUGCCCAUACCCAUGUCCCACAGCACCAUGCCCACGUCCCCCUCCCCUGUGCCAUGUCCCCAUGCCCUGUGCAUGUCCCCAUGCCCUGCCCCACGUCCCCAUGCCCCUGCCCCCUGCCCAUUUGCCAACCAACGUCCCAUGUCCCCACGUACCUGCAGGCAGCCGCGGAAGCCCUGCUCCACCUGGCCACUGUCCCCUGCCAGCCCCCCCACGCUCAGCGUCCGCAGCCGCAGCCCCUGCAGCCCCCCGGCCACGUCGGCCACCGCCUGCGGGGACAGGGGCUCUGAGUGCGCCCAGCCCCAGGGCACCGCGGGUACCGGGGGGUCCCUGCCCCGGGGGGGGGUCCCCACCCUGCGCCCUGCCCCAGCGCCCCCGCGUCCCCAUCACCUGGUGGCGGCCGUAGUCCAGGGCGAGGAGGAGGAGGGUGGCCGGGGGAGCGCGGCCGGGGGCCCCCCGCAGCUCCAGCUGGAGGUGGUGCCAGGCGCCAUCGUUGACCCUGGCGUGGGGCAGCCGCAGCCAGGCCAGGCGGGAGCCCCCCUGCCACACGCCUGCCUCCGCCUGCCCCUCACUCAGCUGCGGGCAGAGGUGUCAGUGCCCCCCCCCAGGGGCCCCCCCCGCCCUGCCCCCCCUGGAAACCCUCCCCCCCCCCGCCCCCCAUGGCUCCAGCACCCUCCUUGAUAGGUGAUGGCCCCCAGGGCGAUGCCCCCUGCACAGAUCCCCCCCAGGUAAUCCCCCCUCCAGCCCCCUGCUCCCAGGGGCAAUCACCCCAUAAGGGGAUUGCCCCCAAUGGCCCCCAGC